GGAGAGAUGGCUGAGUCCGGCUGAAAGCGCACGACUCGAAAUCGUGUGGGCGGGUGACCGUCCCGUGGGUUCGAAUCCCACUCUCUCCGCCA
rnacentral:tRNA from 1 species